UAUUCUCAAAACCCUCGCGUCAAAUAUAAGUAAAAUAUCCAACACAAAUCUUAACCUGAUUUAUUGGCGGAUUGAAAAACUACCAGGCGAUAUUCUUCCGCUCCCACCAACCGCGUCCACCCCCAUUGCGGCUCCGAGUGGUACGGUCCGGAAAGCAAUCACACAGCUGCCCCCUCAGCCUCACUCUACGCCAGGUCCACUCUGGUCGCAGCGCGGCGGCAACACCUAGCUUAUCCGCCGUCUGACUACCGGGAUGCCGCUUGGUCCGUGAACACCUCGCCCUCCCGGACACCACGACACCCAGGCUUACCCGCCCGCCUUCCCUCCCACGCCCGCAUUAGCAACAAACAAACUGCGUGGAAGGAUAUUCAGGCCCAGCUUCUACCUCUUUUUUUUUUUUUUUUUUUUUUUCAUUCAAGCUGCUUUAAAAAGAAGCGGCUCGACCCAGCAGCCGCGGCCGCUCGGCAGGUGCCGUCACCCGGCCAAGCGCGUGGAGAUGCCGCCCGUCCAGAGAACCAUGUCGGAUCUUCGAACUCGCGCAGACGGAUAUGAAAAGACGGAAGACGUGUCAGAAAAGACUUCAUUAGCAGACCAGGAAGAUGCCCGACUGAUACACCUUAACCAGCCGCAGUUCACAAAGUUCUGCAGCAAUCGCGUCAGCACGGCCAAGUACAACGUCAUCACCUUCCUCCCGAGGUUCCUCUACUCGCAGUUCAGGAGGGCGGCCAACGCCUUUUUCCUCUUCAUUGCACUCUUGCAGCAAAUUCCAGAUGUGUCUCCCACCGGUCGCUGGACAACGCUGGUGCCGCUGCUUUUUAUUCUUGUGGUAGCUGCUGUCAAGGAGAUCAUUGAGGAUCUGAAACGCCACAAUGCCGACAGCAUUGUCAACAAAAAGGAAUGUCAAGUAUUGAGAAACGGCGCCUGGGAGAUCGUGCAUUGGGAGAAGGUGGCUGUCGGGGAAGUCGUCCGAGCUGCCAACGGGGAUCACCUCCCGGCUGACCUCGUCAUACUGUCGUCCAGUGAACCGCAGGGGAUGUGCUACAUCGAAACCUCCAACCUGGACGGAGAAACAAACCUCAAAAUCCGACAGGGUCUCCAGGUGACCACCGACUUCAAGGACAUCGACAGCCUGGCGCGUCUCUCCGGGCGGAUGGAGUGCGAGUGCCCCAACCGCCAUCUCUACGAGUUUGUGGGCAACAUCCGACUCGACGGACACAGCACAGUGCCGCUGGGCCCGGACCAGAUCUUACUGAGAGGAGCCCAGCUGAGGAACACACAGUGGGUGCACGGCGUUGUGGUCUACACAGGACACGACACCAAGCUCAUGCAGAACUCCACUCGGCCUCCGCUCAAGUUGUCCAACGUGGAGCGCAUCACCAACUUCCAGAUCCUGGUCCUGUUCGGCUGCCUGCUGGCCAUCUCUCUGGUCUGCUCCGUGGGCCAGAGCGUCUGGAAGUACCGGUGCGGCAACGACGCCUGGUACAUGGACCUCAACUAUGGCGGGGCGGCGAACUUUGGCCUCAACUUCCUCACCUUCAUCAUCCUCUUCAACAACCUGAUUCCCAUCAGCCUGCUGGUCACGCUGGAGGUCAUCAAGUUCAUCCAAGCCUUCUUCAUCAACUGGGACACCGACAUGAUCUAUGAGCCGACAAACACCCCCGCCAUGGCUCGUACCUCCAAUCUAAAUGAAGAGUUAGGCCAGGUGAAGUACAUUUUCUCUGACAAGACGGGCACGCUGACCUGCAACGUCAUGCAGUUUAAGAAGUGCACAGUCGCCGGCGUAGCGUACGGUCACGUGCCCGAGGCCGAGGAUGGUAGUUUUGCGGAGGACGACGGGCACAGCACGCACUCGUCGGAGGAGUCUGGUUUUGUUGACCCGAGCUUGCUGGAAAACCUCCAAAGUAAUCAUCCGACAGCUGCUGUCAUCCUGGAGUUCAUGACCAUGAUGGCCAUCUGUCACACCGCAGUCCCCGAGCGCAAUGAGGGGAAUAUCAGCUACCAAGCAGCGUCCCCAGAUGAAAGCGCUCUGGUGAGAGCUGCACGGAACCUGGGUUUUGUGUUCUCCGGUAGAACUCCAGACAGCGUCAUUGUGGAGAUGCUGGGGAACGAGGAGAAGUAUGAGCUGCUUCACGUGCUGGAGUUUACAAGCGCCAGGAAGAGGAUGUCAGUCAUCAUGCGCACGCCAUCCGGAAAGAUCCGCCUCUACUGCAAAGGAGCGGACACGGUCAUCUAUGACAGACUGGCAGACAGUUCUCGCUACAAAGAGAUCACGUUGAAGCAUCUGGAGCAGUUUGCCACCGAGGGUCUGCGCACGCUUUGCUUCGCUGUGACGGACAUCAGCGAGUCGUCCUACCAGCACUGGCUGGAGCUGCACCACCGAGCCUGCACCUCCCUGCAGAACCGAGCCCUCAAGCUGGAGGAGAGCUACGAGCUCAUCGAGAAGAACCUGCAGUUGUUGGGGGCCACCGCCAUCGAGGACAAGCUCCAAGAUAAGGUGCCCGAAACCAUAGAGACUCUGAUGAAGGCUGACAUCAAGAUCUGGAUCCUGACCGGAGACAAGCAAGAGACGGCUAUCAACAUUGGACAUUCCUGCAAGCUGCUGACUAAAAAUAUGGGAAUGCUGGUGAUAAAUGAAGACACGCUCGACAGAACGAGGGAGACCCUCAGCCACCACUGCGGAAUGCUGGGAGACGCUCUUCACAAGGAGAACGACUUUGCGCUCAUCAUCGACGGCAAGACGCUGAAAUACGCCCUCACCUUCGGCGUGCGGCAGUACUUCUUGGAUCUCGCCCUGUCCUGCAAGGCCGUCAUAUGCUGCAGAGUGUCUCCUCUCCAGAAGUCGGAGGUGGUGGAAAUGGUGAAGAAGCAAGUGAAGGUGAUCACGCUGGCCAUCGGCGAUGGCGCCAACGACGUGGGGAUGAUUCAGACGGCUCACGUGGGCGUGGGCAUAUCUGGCAACGAGGGCCUGCAGGCCGCCAACUCUUCGGACUACUCCAUUGCUCAGUUCAAAUACUUGAAGAACCUGCUGCUCGUCCACGGAGCAUGGAAUUACAACCGCGUGGCCAAAUGUAUCCUCUACUGCUUCUACAAAAACAUUGUGCUUUACAUCAUCGAGAUCUGGUUCGCCUUUGUCAACGGCUUCUCGGGUCAGAUUCUGUUCGAGCGCUGGUGCAUCGGCCUGUACAACGUGAUCUUCACGGCUCUGCCUCCGCUCACCCUGGGAAUAUUCGAGCGCUCCUGUCGGAAAGAAAACAUGCUGAAGUACCCCGAGCUGUACAAAACCUCCCAGAAUGCGAUGGGAUUCAACACCAAGGUUUUCUGGGCUCAUUGUCUGAACGGCCUCUUCCACUCCGUCAUCCUCUUCUGGUUCCCUCUUCAGGCCUUCCAGCACGAUACAGUCUUUGGAAAUGGAAGAACCCCCGACUAUCUGCUUUUAGGAAACAUGGUUUACACCUUUGUGGUCAUCACAGUAUGCCUUAAAGCCGGCCUGGAAACAUCCUCCUGGACUAUGUUCAGUCACGUGGCCAUCUGGGGCAGCAUUGGACUGUGGGUGGUGUUCUUCGUCAUCUACUCCUCCUUGUGGCCCCUCAUCCCUCUCGCGCCCGACAUGUCCGGCGAGGCGGAGAUGAUGUUCUCUUCGGCGGUCUUCUGGACGGGCCUGGUCUUCAUCCCCAUCACCUCGCUGGUCUUUGACGUGGCCUACAAAGUGGUGAAGAGGGUGUUCUUUAAGACGCUGGUGGACGAGGUGCAGGAGCUGGAGGCGUUGUCCCAAGAUCCUGGUGCGGUGGUGCAUGGGAAAAGUUUGACGGAGAGGGCCCAGCUCCUGAAGAACGUCUUCAAGAAGAGCAGUGUGAGUCUGUACCGCUCCGAGUCCAUGCAGCAGAACCUGCUACGUGGGCACCAGUCGCUUGUUGUGUGACCCUUUUUUGUUACGCCUCCACCGUAGUUCCUCGUUAGACGUCCCUUCCGUUUCUUCCCUUCGUCUUUUCUUUGGUUCCUCUCCCUCGUGUGCCUGCUGUGUUCUGACGUGAGCCCACUUUUUGAAAGGAAAAAAAAACACGGGGAUAUGAUGAAAUGUUGCGCUGUUAUCCCUCCCCCACCCCCCCUCAGUCCCCCACGGCUCAGCACGCUCCUUUGAGUUGACCGACCGGGCCCCACAGGUAGCCUACUGAUCCGCUCGUUUGACCCCAAGACGGCUACGCCUUUUCCCAAGACGAGAACGGCGUGGUGUCUCAGUCGGAGGUGAUCCGGGCGUACGACACCACCAAAGAGAGGAGCCGGGAGUGGUGAGCGCCCGCCAAUCAGUCGCCAGUGCCACUGCGACCACCCGCUUGGUGGUUUUCUUGUUCCUGGACGGCGGGUGACGCUUUUUUUGGUGGGGUGGACGAUGAGUACGACCGCAGACAGAUACGAAUGGGACCAUGGAUUCUUUGAGGAAGGCAACGAGCACGUUUGCUCGAUUUUUUUGGAGAACGGUUACGAGCGCUGAAGCGAAACCGGUAAAAAUGGAAGCGCGAGACGCGAGGGGUGUGACGGUACGCCGCGCUCACGGUACAGCUCGGCGUGAAGGUUCAUUUUGGGGAAAAAAAAACGCUUGAAUGAGUUUUAAAAUGAAAAUAUCGCAGCAGGUAAUUCUGUAGUACCAUUUUUAAUAUCUAAUUUUUUUUUUACUAAAUCCCUUAAUCGCCUGAUGUGCGGAACGAAUAGUUUCAGCUUGGAUAUUUUACACGGAAGGCCUAGUGCUCCCCGACCAGGAGACCUUAGCAUGGGGUUUUCAAGUUCUGCCUUCUCCUUGGCACUUUUGCCGCGCAGUACAGAAGUACCUCAACUUACCAGCUUCAUUGCUUCUUAACUCAAAAUUCUUGUAUCUGAAAUCAAUUUCAUUGCCCCCCACCCCCUCCCCCCCGCCCCCCCUUAAAAAAAUAAACGGCACAAUUUUAACUCGUAAAAUGCCUUUUAAAAAACAAAGGUUUGAAUGACAAAUAUUGUUUGAGAAACGGUACAUGUAGCACAGUGGUCCCCAACCACCGGGCCGGGCCGCGGCCCGAUUGGUACCGGGCCGCAGAAGAAUUUUUUAUUAAAAUUAAAAUUAAAUCAACAUAAAAAACACAAUAUACACUUACAAUUAGUGCACCAACCACAAAAUUGUCCCUUUUUCAUGACAAAAACGUCCCUUUUUCAUGAAAAAAAAAUAAAAUAAAUAAAGAAAAAAAACGGGUCAUCAAAAUUCUAAAAUUAAUCUUAAUAAGGAAAAAAUACUAAUGAUGUUCCAUAAAUUAUUUUUUAAAUUUUUUUCAAAAAGAUUCGAAUUAGCUAGUUUUUCUCUUCAUAUUUUUCGGUUGAAUUUUGAAUUUUAAAAAGUCGAAAUUGAAGAUAAACUAUGUUUCAAAAUCUUAUUUUCCUUUUUUUCCUGUUUUCUCCUCUUUUAAACCGUUCAAUUAAGUGUUUUUUUUCAUCAUUUAUCCUCUACAAAAAACCUUCCGUAAAAGGAAAAAAAAUGUACGACAGAAUGACAUAUAGAUUUAUAUAUAGAUUUAUUUAUUAAAGGUAAAUUGAGCAAAUUGGCUAUUUCUGGCAAUUUAUUUAAGUGUGUAUCAAACUGGUAGCCCUUAGCAUUAAUCAGUACCCAAGAAGUAGCUCUUGGUUUCAAAAAGGUUGGUGACUCCUGCUCUUAAGGAUGUUGUGACCAAAUACAAACACAUGCUAGUUCACAAUCAUAUAAGAAAAUGGUACACGGUAUAAUUUACCACAGUAGCUUACAUCAAAACUACAAGCUAAAAAGAGAGAAAAAAUGACUGCGAAUCCAGGCCAAAAAAAUGAUGGACAAAAUAUAAUGACCUGGAUGAAGAUACAGAGAACAUCCAUGAUGUUCAUAUGAUGGCUAAGUAUACAGCACUAGUCUUUGAUAUGUUAGGCGAGGGACAAGUUGAGGUACCUCUGUAUUUCUUUUUUUUUUUUUAAGAGUUGUUUAUUUUCUAGUAAAACCCCAAAUUGGUCGAUGAGCGAAUGUAAUAGUUGCACUGGGUUUUACCGGAAAGGCCAAGUGUUCCCUAAGCAGAAGACCUUUACGGCGAAAGUGGCUUUUUCAAGCUCAGGCUUCUCCUUGGCGCUGUGUUUGCUACUUGCUUAUUACAUUGAGACUUGUUGAGUAGCGAUAACGUCGAGGUCGUGUACCGUCACACCCCCGCUGAACGCCCUUCCUCGUGACCGGGCGUCCCCGAGUCAAAGAUUCUAAAAGGUCGGCUUGCCAAAGAGCAGUCGCGUGUACAAUCCCGUGAAGUACUCGUGAAUUCGGUUAAAGGGGAACAUUAUCACAAUUUCAGAAGGGUUAAAACCAUUAAAAAUCAGUUCCCAGUGGCUUAUUUUAUUUUUCCAAGUUUUUUUUCAAAAUGUUACCCAUCACGCAAUAUCCCGAAAAACGGCUUUAAAGUGCCUGAUUUUAACCAUCGUUAUAAACACCCGUCCAUUUUCCUGCGACGUCACAGCGUGAAAGAUGGCGGAUAGCACAGAAAGGUAUAGCAUAGUCGCUCGGAUUCGGACUCGGAUUUCAGCGGCGCAAGCGAUUCGACAGAUUACGCAUGUAUUGAAACGGAUGGUUGGAGUGUGGAGGCAGGUAGCGAAAACGAAAUUGAAGAAGAAACUGAUGCUAUUGAGCCAUAUCACGACAGACAGCGGCAACGAGGACAAAUUCGGCGAUCGCCUUCUAACCAAUGAUUGCAUCUUUUGACCACUGGUGCAACUUGAAUCCGUCGAUUGGUAUGUGUUUGUUUGGCAUUAAAUGUGGGUGGAGGGAAAGGCUGGAUGCAAAUAUAGCUACAAAUUGUUACGACUCGGAGUAAGAAGAGGACCCAGAUGCAGAGAGGAAGUUCAAAAAAUAAAUAUUUUAUUUUGAAACAACUUUUUACCUCAAGUGCAAAAAGUAUUUCGCAAGAAUAAUCAAUACGCGGAAAAAUAAUUCCGAGGAUAAACGAUUAACUCAAAAUCACUCCACAAAAAUAAGGAGGAAUACUAAUCUAAGGAAAUUCUAAAGAAAAAAAUAAUAUCAAUAUAAAUAAACCAAAAGCGCUCCAACAGGAGAAAAAAAACACCAAACUACCUAUAUAUAUAUAUAUAUAUAUAUAUAUAUAUAUAUAUAUAUAUAUAUAUAUAUAUAUAUAUAUAUAUACAUACACUGACUAUGAAUAACAAAAAAUCACUCAAUGAGACAAUAAAUUCGAAAUUUGGAAAAACAAAAACUCACCCAUUAGGUAGACAAAGGAUAAGCAAGGAAGCUCGAAGGAGGAAAAAGUCAACUCAAAAUUACAGCAAAAAACUGCUUGAUCCAUAAGGGGGAACCAGGAAAACAGGAGCAAGACAAAGAGGGUUUUCGAGGACAUGGACAUGAACGCUAGAAGGCACGAUAAUCGAGACGAUCUGGCAACGGACAAAAAGAGGCGUGAGCUUAAAUAGGAUAUGGAAUGAUGGAAACAGGUGGACACAAUGAGGGAUCAGGGAUGACGUCAGACUGGUGACACAAGAGGAAGGACCCGUGAUCUGAAACAAGAGGGUAGCUUUUCAAAAUAAAACACGUAAAUCACAAGACAGAAAAACCAAGACAAGACUUCCCUCACCGCGGUGUGACAAAAUGAGUCAUAAUGAUGCAAUAUGUACAUACAGCUAGCCUGAAUAGCAUGUUAGCAUGGAUUAGCUUGCAGUCAUGCCGUGCGUAAAUAUGUUUGAUUAGCACAUAAGUCAAUAACAUCAACGAAACUCACCUUUGUGAUUUUGUUGACUUUAUCGUUGGAAAUGCAUCUGCUUUGAGUGUCGCAGGAUAUCCACACAUCUCUGUCGUAGCAUCGCUAUCGUGGGUAGCGAUGCUACGACAGAACAGAACAAACGAGGGACUUUCCCAUCUUUUGACCACUGGUGCAACUUGAAUCUGUCGAUUGGUAUGUGUUUGUUUGGCAUUAAAUGUGGGUGGGUGGGUGGAGGGAAAGGCUGGAUGCAAAUAUAGCUACAAAUGAGGCAUAAUGGUGCAAUAUGUACAUACAGCUAGCCUAAAUAGCAUGUUAGCAUCGAUUAGCUUGCAGUCAUGCCUUGCGCAAAUAUGUCUGAUUAGCACAUAAGUCAAUAACAUCAACAAAACUCACCUUUGUGCUUUCGCUGACUUUAUCGUUGGAAAUGCAUCUGCUUUGAGUGUCGCAGGAUAUCCGCACAUUCUUGCCAUCUCUGUCGUAGCAUCGCUAUCGUCGGUGUGCAGAACAAACAAGGGAAUUUCGCAUCUUUUGACCACUGGUGCAACUUAAAUCCGUCGAUUGGUAUGUGUUUGUUUGGCAUUAAAUGUGGGUGGAGGGAAAGGCUGGAUGCAAAUAUAGCCACAAAUGAGGCAUAAUGAUGCAAUAUUGUACAUACAGCUAGCCUAAAUAGCAUGUUAGCAUCGAUUAGCAUGCCGUGACCAUUGAUAUGUCUGAUUAGCACACUCCACGUAAGUCAACUUGAAUCCGUCCCUGAUCGUGUUGUUACACCGUCCGACAACACACCGACGAAAACAGUCGAAAUAACGGAAAAUAACAGCUGAUUUGACUUGGUUUGUGUAAUUUGUUUGAGAAAAUGGCAGAACGCUUCGUGUUGUGACGUCACGGGUGAAAGGUCAUCGCUCCGACAGGCUAUCAAAUGAAAGGCGUCUAAAUCGCCAAAUUCACCCUUUUAGAGUUCGGAAAUUGGUUAAAAAAACAAAUGGUCUUUUUUCUGCAACAUCAAGGUAUAUAUUGACGCUUAUAUAGGUCUGGUGAUAAUGUUCCCCUUUAAAACCCCCCGACCGCCACUUUCUCCCACUUACUUUUCAUUCCCCGCACUAAAGGAAGCGCCUUACAUCUGCAUCAUGCCUUCAUCCUCUCUUCUACACACAUUUUCUCUUCCUUUCUCAAGCAAUGUAUUGAAUCCUGUGCCUGCUUUCCGCUCGGGAUUGGUUUUCGAUGGACGAUAGCAUUCCACACAUCCCCCUCGCCCCCCCGCCAUCACAAAGGUGCCUACGUUUCCGUUUAGGAGCCGGCGUAGGACGCACACGUUCAGAAAAAGGGGGGAAAAACAAAAAAAACGAGAUUGAGACCCUUCCAACAUAAGUGCCAUUAGCUAACAAAGAGAGAGAGAAAAAAUACCCUGGAUUAUCCACGGCAACCCAGAGUUAUGAUUUUGUGGAUUUGUAUUUUUAUAUUCGGAGACGUACACACAUUUUUGCAUUUGACUGGCUUUGUAACCUUUGACCCCGCCCCCUCCCCCCCCACCACCACCCCCACAGGACACGGCGCUUACUUAAACGUCUCUCAGUGGUGAAUAUUGUUACUGCUCGGUUUAUUUCUAAUUAUUGUAUUUAAUACUUCAUGUCUGUGCGAUGGCUUUCUUCUCCCUAUGGGAGAUACGACUUCUGACUGUGUGUGUGUGUGUGUGUGUGUGUGUGUGUGUGUGUGUGUGUGUGUGUGUGUGUGUGUGUGUGUGUGUGUGUGUGUGCGUGUGUGUGCAUGUGCAUGUGAAGUACGCGUGCUUUUAAGUGCGUCUCACGUCUACGAUGUUAACUUUUACUGUAUGUACGCAUGUCUGUCUGCUACUACUGUAAGGCGUGUUGGGGCAACACGACAGAGAAAAUAAAUAUUAUAUUAAUAUAUAUUACAUUUACAGAGAAAACUAAGGAAGCAAGUUGUAAUCUUGAAAGUGACAAAUCGAGUGUAAUGUUACAGGAAUAAAGUCGCAAUCUUACCGAAAAUAAUUGUAACGUUGGUGGGGGGAGUAGAAAAAAUGUACUUUUACAAGAAUAACUGUCGGAAUUUUACAAAAUGUCCAAAAGUUGUGGGAGUGCUACGCAAAAAGUUCAUUAUUGUCACAAGCGUUUAGUUGUAUCGUCAUGGAAAUAAAGUCGGAAUAUUCUAAUGCUUACAUACUUAAAGAAUUUUUACUCAUGUCGGUCUGCUACUACUGUAAGGCAUAUUGGAUCAAAAAAAUGAAUAAUAUUACAUUAAUAUACAUU